CUUGAGAAGUUGGUCUUAAGCAAGUGUAAUUUCUUGAAAAAUAUUACAAUAUCGAGCUACAAGGUUAAAAUACUUAUCUUGAGAGAAUGCAAGCAACUAGAAGAGGCUGAUAUUAUUAGCCCAAACCUUCUUUCAUUCGAAUACAAAGGUGAGAAGAUGCCUUUUACUUCCUUGAAUCCUUCGAGUUUAAAAGAAGCCAAGCUUUAUUUUAAACCAUCAGGGCAAGGUGAAUCUCGAUUAGGCAACGAAGAUAACCACACCCCUUGGUUUGCUAGAUUGCAAGGAUUUUUUUAGAAGUUUGAUUACAGUAGAGGUUUGAAAUUGGUGGUCCGCUCUGAUAAGAAUAUCGUCAGUUAUGAAAGGCCAAAGGGAAUUUUUCUUCCGCAAGUCUACGAUCUCAAACUUGAUGUGGUGAAAUCAUCAGUAGAUCUUGAGGAUCUUUUAGAUUAUAUUUUACGAACAUGGCGUCCAUUGACACUAUCAUCAUUGUCAACUUCCAGAAGCAGGCUCCCCAAGCGAGUGUGUAAGAAACUAAUAACAAGAGAGAAGGAUCCCAGCUGCUGCACAUACAAUGCUUCCGGUGACAAAUGCUGGCGGCACUUUCUAGGUUGGCGGCAUGGAUCAGCUCAAUAUCAACUCAAAACAAUUUUUUCUAUUUUUAUGAUUUACCUUCAUCUUUGAUCUCGAAACUAUAGAAAUGGCCUACUUAGCACACAAUACGGAAGAACUUGGGCAUGAUAUCAAUAUAUAUAUAUAUACAUUGAUAAUACAGGGAAAUAUAACGGGUACAAGUCAGGGAACUGGAACCAUAAAAUUAAUUCAUGUAAACCUCAAUGAUAAAUUCAGUUUAUCUAUGUCCACAA